rnacentral:rRNA from 1 species
AUUGAACGCUGGCGGAAUGCUUUACACAUGCAAGUCGAGCGGCAGCGCGGGGCAACCCUGGCGGCGAGCGGCGAACGGGUGAGUAAUACAUCGGAACGUGUCCUUAAGUGGGGGAGUANCUCGGCGAAAGACCGGAUUAAUACCGCAUAAGCUCUGAGGAGGAAAGGCGGGGCUCCGUAAGGACCUCGCGCUGUUGGAGCGGCCGAUGUCGGAUUAGCUAGUUGGUGGGGUAAA